AGCAGUGUAGCUUAAUGGUUAAAGCCCCAAGCUCAUAACUUGGUCGAUGUGGGUUCAAGUCCCACCACUGCCACCA
rnacentral:tRNA from 2 species